rnacentral:rRNA from 1 species
GACUCUCGGCAACGGAUAUCUCGGCUCACGCAUCGAUGAAGAACGUAGCAAAAUGCGAUACUUGGUGUGAAUUGCAGAAUCCCGUGAACCAUCGAGUUUUUGAACGCAAGUUGCGCCCGAAGCCUUUUGGYCGAGGGCACGUCUGCCUGGGCGUCACAC